UACGGGGGGGGCAAGCGUUGUUCGGAAUUACUGGGCGUAAAGCGUGUGUAGGUGGCUUCCUAAGUCGGUUGUGAAAUCCCUGGGCUCAACCCGGGAAUUGCAGUCGAUACUGGGAAGCUCGAGUUCGGUAGAGGGUGACGGAAUUCCUGGUGUAGCGGUGAAAUGCGCAGAUAUCAGGAGGAACACCGGUGGCGAAGGCGGUUCUCUGGGCAUGACCUGACGCUGAGGAGCGAAAGUGUGGGGAGCGAACAGG
rnacentral:rRNA from 1 species